AUUGAACGCUAGCUACAGGCUUAACACAUGCAAGUCGAGGGACCGGCGCACGGGUGAGUAACACGUAUCCAACCUGCCCUUUACUCGGGGCUAGCCUUUCGAAAGAAAGAUUAAUACCCGAUAUAAAGGAUGGGGCUGCGUUCCAUUAGGUUGUUGGUGAGGUAACGGCCCACCAAGCCUUCGAUGGAUAGGGGUUCUGAGAGGAAGGUCCCCCGCAUUGGAACUGAGACACGAUCCAAACUCCUACGGGAGGCAGCAGGGAGGAAUAUUGGUCAAUGGGCGUUAGUCUGAACCAGCCAAGUAGCGUGAAGGAUGAAGGCUUAUGGGGCGUAAACUUCUUUUAUAUAAGAAUAUGUAUUAUAUGAAUAAGGAUCGGCUAACUCCGUGCCAGCCGCCGCGGUAAUUC
rnacentral:rRNA from 1 species